UCUGAGUUGCUAUCUCUGAAUGAUCCAGC
rnacentral:piRNA from 1 species